rnacentral:rRNA from 1 species
GAUGAACGCUGGCGGCGUGCCUAAUACAUGCAAGUCGAGCGAACAGACGAGGAGCUUGCUCCUCUGACGUUAGCGGCGGACGGGUGAGUAACACGUGGAUAAUGUACCUAUAAGACUGGGAUAACUUCGGGAAACCGGAGCUAAUACCGGAUAAUAUAUUGAACCGCAUGGGUCAAUAGUGAAAGACGGUUUUGCUGUCACUUAUAGAUGGAUCCGCGCCGCAUUAGCUGGUUGGUAAGGUAAAGGCUUACCAAGGCAACGAUGCGUAGCCGACCUGAGAGAGUGAUCGGCCACACUGGAACUUAGACACGGUCCAGACUACUGCGGGAGGCAGCAGUAUGGAAUCUUCCGCAAUAGGCGAAAGCCUUACGGAGCAACGCCGCGUGAGUGAUGAAGGUCUUCGGAUCGUAAAACUCUGUUAUUAGUUAAGAACAAAUUUGUAAGUAACUAUGCACGUCUUGACGGUACCUAAUCAGAAAGCCACGGCUAACUACGUG